GAAUAUAGCAUAAGACAACAAUUGAGGGGACUGCAUCAAAAAUAAGACGUGAUCAAAUCUUUUCAAGGUCAUGAAAGGUCACUGUGCAUUCGGCUUACAUCAACUUAUAUGACAGUUAAAAUUUUAUAGUAAUUUUAGCGUCCUUCUUUCUUGUAGAUUCAUGCUUUAUAAACAAUUUUACUAGGGUAAUGUUACCCAGUAAACGUUCCCUGGAAAGGGUGGAAAUUGCAAACGCUUUGAUGACAACUUUGGUGGUUGCAAGGAUGGAAAAAGAUAGCAAUUUAAGUUUUCAACCAUGCCACUUUUUUAGUGAAAAGCAAAAAUAUAUGCAGCGGAGUGGUCAUGCUCGCGACAACUAAAAUACCAUCAAAAUGUUUGCAAUUGACAUCCUUUUCUUGAUAACGUUCGCUGGCUAUUGGGGUCCUUUACUAAGCCAAACAUAUUUUUGUAACAAACUUGACUUAUUUCU
rnacentral:lncRNA from 1 species